UUGGAGGGCAAGUCUGGUGCCAGCAGCCGCGGUAAUUCCAGCUCCAAUAGCGUAUAUUAAAGUUGUUGCAGUUAAAAAGCUCGUAGUUGAAUUUCGAGAUCAGUACGCUGGUCGUGCCUUCGGUAUGCACUGGUGUCACUGGUUUCUCCCUUCUGAAGAACCGUCAUGUCAUUAAGUUGGUGUUACGGGGAAUUAGGACUGUUACCUUGAAAAAAUUAGAGUGUUUAAAGCAGGCUCGCGCUUGAAUACAUUAGCAUGGAAUAAUGAAAUAGGACAUCCGAUUCUAUUUUGUUGGUUUCUAGGAUCGAUGUAAUGAUUAAUAGGGAUAGUUGGGGGCAUUAGUAUUCAAUUGUCAGAGGUGAAAUUCUUGGAUUUAUUGAAGACUAACUACUGCGAAAGCAUUUGCCAAGGAUGUUUUCAUUAAUCAAGAACGAAAGUUAGGGGAUCGAAGACGAUCAGAUACCGUCGUAGUCUUAACCAUAAACUAUGCCGACUAGGGAUCGGAUGAUGUUAAUUUUUUAAUGACUCAUUCGGCGCCUUACGGGAAAC
rnacentral:rRNA from 1 species